AGGAAGUUUACCAGGAAAUAGAGCUCUCAGG
rnacentral:piRNA from 1 species